rnacentral:tRNA from 1 species
GGGAAUAUAGCUCAGGUGGUAGAGUGUUUGCCUUGCAUGCACAAAGCCCUGGGUUCUAUUCCCAGUACUACAA